rnacentral:rRNA from 1 species
GACGAACGCUGGCGGCGCGCCUAACACAUGCAAGUCGAACGAGCGAGAGAGAGCUUGCUUUCUCGAGCGAGUGGCGAACGGGUGAGUAACGCGUGAGGAACCUGCCUCAAAGAGGGGGACAACAGUUGGAAACGACUGCUAAUACCGCAUAAGCCCACGGGUCGGCAUCGACCAGAGGGAAAAGGAGCAAUCCGCUUUGAGAUGGCCUCGCGUCCGAUUAGCUAGUUGGUGAGGUAAUGGCCCACCAAGGCGACGAUCGGUAGCCGGACUGAGAGGUUGAACGGCCACAUUGGGACUGAGACACGGCCCAGACUCCUACGGGAGGCAGCAGUGGGGAAUAUUGCACAAUGGGGGGCAACCCUGAUCCAGCGACGCCGCGUGAGGAGAGUUUCGGAUUGUAAACCUCUAGUUGACGGAGAAAAAAUGAAUGGUAUCCGUUUAGAAAGCACGGCUAACUACGU